UAAACGCUCCUCUCUCAGAGUCUUACCAGGUAUUCCUCUUUAUGUGUUGUUAUUUUCUCCUGUGUCCUCACCUCUUUGGCACGCUCCAGCUCGUUGUGCAGCGCCUGCUUGGAGAUCUCCACCUCGAUGAUCCUUUGGCGGAGCUGCUCGUUCUCGUCCUCGGCCCGACUGCGUUUGUCCUCCACGCUCUCCAACUCGUUGUGGAGACGCACCGAGACGUCUUUGGCCACCUGAGGACGCACAGUCAGCUUGGUCAGCCCUCACUUUUUAUUCCAUCUAGUCAUCAAUGAAACUACAUAUUACUGGGAGCACACUGCAAAAACUGAAAUGUAAGUAAGAUGAAAUAUCUCAAAUAAGGCUGAUAUGUGCUCAUUUUCUGUCUGAUAAGAUAAUUCUUCUCACUAAGCAGAUUUUAUGUUAGAGUGUUUUACUCGUUUUAAGGGGUUGGAUCCUAAAUGAUGUCAGUAAGAUAUUACAGCUUGUUGCUGAGAUUUGAUGAGCUAUAUUGUGUAAAACAUUAUAUCCAUAUAUCAUUAUAUUAUUAUAGAAUAGACUGCAAAGACAAGAUAUGUGGCGUUGGAACCUGAAAACUUUAUAUUUUGCAAAUAAGAGCUCACUUGGAAUUGGAUGCCUGCAACAUGUUUCAAGAAAGCUGGCUUCAGUGGCAAAAAAAGGUGAAGAAUGCUCAUCAAAAACUUAUUUGUAACAUCCCACAGGUGAACAGGCUGAUUGGGAACAGGUGAGCAUUUAGUGAUCAAUUGUACGGAAUAUGUACUGUAUUAAUAAAAAGUGUAAAUUUGUGAUGAGGUGGCAACUUGUCCAGGGUGUACACCGCCUUCUGCCCGAAUGCAGCUGAGAUAGGUUCCAGCACACCCCGUGACCUCGAAAGGGACAAGCGGCAGGAAAUGGAUGGAUGGAUGGAUGCUUGAAACUAGAAUAUAAACUUGCAAAGUCUCGACAAGUCGCCUGCGGGCCUUCAGCAAAUCGGGAUGUUGCCAGGACCGGCCUCAAAAUCAGCGACAGGUGCGUAGAUGGCCCACCUGGGCCUUGUUAUCUAAUCACCUGUCGCUCUGUUAUAAGCAGCAGCCAGGAGGAGAGACGGGGUUGGGGCUGGAGCCAGAGCGCGAGCGAGAACGAAAGAGAAAAAGACAAUUGCUAGAAAGCAACUGA